rnacentral:rRNA from 1 species
GAUGAACGCUAGCGGCAGGCCUAAUACAUGCAAGUCGAACGAUACCAGAGAGCUUGCUUUCUGGGAAAGUGGCGCACGGGUGCGUAACGCGUAUGCAACCUACCUUAAUCAGGGGGAUAGCCUCUCGAAAGAGAGAUUAACACCGCAUAAAAUCACACUUCGGCAUCGAAGACUGAUCAAAUAUUUAUAGGAUUAAGAUGGGCAUGCGUGACAUUAGCUAGUUGGUGAGGUAACGGCUCACCAAGGCUACGAUGUCUAGGGGAUCUGAGAGGAUGACCCCCCACACUGGUACUGAGACACAGACCAGACUCCUACGGGAGGCAGCAGUAAGGAAUAUUGGUCAAUGGAGGCAACUCUGAACCAGCCAUGCCGCGUGCAGGAAGACGGCCCUAUGGGUUGUAAACUGCUUUUAUACGGGAAUAAACCUCUCUACGUGUAGAGAGUUGAAUGUACUGUAAGAAUAAGGAUCGGCUAACUCCGUGCCAGCCGCCGCAGUAAAAC